AUUAAUAACCCGAGGUCGCGAACCUCAAUUAAUUAAU
rnacentral:ncRNA from 1 species